GGGUCCGUAGUAUAGCCUGGAGAGUACGGUUGGCUUCGGACCAGCAGACGCCGGUUCGAAUCCGGCCGGGCCCA
rnacentral:tRNA from 1 species